rnacentral:rRNA from 1 species
CUACGGGCGGCUGCAGUGAGGAAUAUUGCACAAUGGAGGAAACUCUGAUGCAGCAACGCCGCGUGGAGGAUGACGCAUUUCGGUGUGUAAACUCCUUUUAUAUGUCAAGAAAAUGACGGUAGCAUAUGAAUAAGCUCCGGCUAACUCCGUGCCAGCAGCCGCGGUAAUACGGAGGGAGCAAGCGUUACUCGGAAUCACUGGGCGUAAAGGACGCGUAGGCGGGAUAGAAAGUCAGGUGUGAAAUCCUAUGGCUCAACCAUAGAACUGCACUUGAAACUUCUAACCUAGAGUAUGGGAGGGGAAGAUGGAAUUAGUGGUGUAGGGGUAAAAUCCGUAGAUAUCACUAGGAAUACCUAAAGCGAAGGCGAUCUCCUGGAACAUUACUGACGCUAAGGCGUGAAAGCGUGGGGAGCAAACAGGAUUAGAUACCCUAGUAGUC